UACGUAGGGCGCAAGCGUUGUCCGGAAUUAUUGGGCGUAAAGAGCUCGUAGGCGGCCUGUUGCGUCCGCUGUGAAAUCCCGGGGCUUAACCCCGGGCUUGCAGUGGAUACGGGCAGACUAGAGGUAGGUAGGGGAGAAUGGAAUUCCCGGUGUAGCGGUGAAAUGCGCAGAUAUCGGGAGGAACACCGGUGGCGAAGGCGGUUCUCUGGGCCUUACCUGACACUGAGGAGCGAAAGCGUGGGGAGCGAACAGG
rnacentral:rRNA from 1 species